rnacentral:rRNA from 15 species
CCAGCAGCCGCGGUAAUACGUAGGGUGCGAGCGUUGUCCGGAAUUACUGGGCGUAAAGAGCUCGUAGGUGGUUUGUCACGUCGUCUGUGAAAUUCCGGGGCUUAACUCCGGGCGUGCAGGCGAUACGGGCAAUACUUGAGUGCUGUAGGGGAGACUGGAAUUCCUGGUGUAGCGGUGAAAUGCGCAGAUAUCAGGAGGAAC